rnacentral:lncRNA from 11 species
GGCUCCUGGACCCACCAAAGUUGCCUACCAUGGUGCAGAGACACACUCAAAGGACAAAAACUAUGUGUUAACAGUCUUGCCUUAUCUGAAGGCAUUAAUCUCUGACGAAGCGGGCUUAUCCAAACACAAAACAAGGAAGGUGUGCUAUCCAGAAUGGAAUAGAAUCGAAAACACUUCCAAAGGGUAAUGUUAAUGUCCUAACGCGAUAAAAAUAAAAUAAAUGAAAUCUGAU